ACAAUAGUCUACCCUAUAAUUCACCAACUCACUCUUAUACCUACAUUACUCAUUCAUCAAAUCCAACGGACCAGAAUAUCUCCCGAUCAUCUAACGGUCUAGAUCACUCCUCCUCCCCCGCGUGUGUGUUCUCUCCCCAAAACCCGCUCGCUCCCUCCUUCGCCCAACCGGCGCGCCUCCCAAACCCUAAUCGUCGCACCGCCUCUCCGGCGCCUCCAUCCCCUCCUCCUCGCCGUACUGCCUUCACAUCGUCGCCGUCGCUCCUCCUCCCCCUACUGCAUCCCUCUUGCGGCCGUCACCAAAUCCCUAUUGCUCAAAGGACGAACAAAAAGAAUUAGAGCGAACAAAAAGAAUUAGAGAGAUGGGGAUUGGGAUCAAGAGACAGAUCAGUAAGGACCGACAAGCCAGAUUCGUCGACAGAUCACAACCGAUUUUUGGGUUUGAUGUCUUCCAUUUGAUUUUUGGCGCUCCUCCCUCCUUGCUCCGAUCUGGCCUAAGUGUUGCCGCCCGAUUUUCGUGGUCGAUCCCGGCACCAGCCCCUUCCUCCGGCCGUGUGUGAGUCCGACAUUCCAAGUCCCCGCGGUCGGAUUUCUCAACCCCGGCAUCGGCCUCGCACUGCAACAAGAGCAUGCAAGCCUAGAUGAGUACAUGGAGAAAUGGUUUGGACUGGAUCAAUACUGGGCAUGCAACAAAUUACUGCGACAGCACGGGCAAAGGUUAAUUAAGCUUGCCUUGCGUUCUUUACUGAAUGGUUUAUGCAUCUGUUUAGGUUUUAUGAUUACAAUUUUGAGUUUGCAAAUGUUUCAGUAGUUUUACUCAAUGCCCUGUAACCAAUCCUGUAUUUGAUCCAAUUUAGUAAUUUACGCAAUUGAGUUUAGAAUAGUUUCACAAAUCAAUUCGGAGUCAAACUAUCAAUUGUUUUUGGUGUUUCAGGUCUUCAGACUGAAGUUUUAGAGUAGCUUCAUCAAAUUUUUGAAAGCUUUCAGAGUGAUUGAGGAGGUAGCCAUCUUUGCCCUCCUUGUUUCAGGAUUGAGUAUAUGAGAGACUGAAGAUAAGGAGGAUUUGUGCAUGAAAAAUAUUGCAGAAUUACUUAGUAUAGAAUUACAUACAUAGUAAUAAAAUUCUCUAAAAGAUACUAUCAAACGAUUAGCUCUACUAACUUUCUUCCUUGCAGGAGGCACAAUUAGCGGUGCAUCUCUCAUGCUCUGUGUUACUUCUUUUGAUAAGAUAAACUACAGUGAGAAAUUAUUUUCAUGAUAAAAUGUGCAAAAUUCCAUAUGUAGAUUGUAUUUUGCUUCAUACUGUUUUGCAUGUUCAAGAAUUAAUUGUAUUGUUAUUUACUUCCUCAAGUCAUAGAAAAAUCCUUAUAUGAAAAAGGAAUAUGACAAAUUAAGGAAAGUGUGUUAUACCAGACCAUAUUCAUGCUUCUAUGUUAAUCUUGUCAAUAUUGGAAAGCCUGGAGGUUAGUGCUAACUAAUAUAAUGCCUUUUUCACCCUUACCGAGUUUUGUGCCCAUGCAUCUAUUAUAGAUUACCGAGAUAUACUGAGCAAUCAGUAUUAGAGUUUGACCAGUUCAAAGGGCACUGAUGUUGAUAUUCAAGACAAGGAUUGAUUACCUCCACAUAAAAACGCAGACAAGUCUAGGCUUUAUGUGGAGUGCUCCAUGGUUACUGAUAACUCCAAUGCUAACAUAUCUUCUGAAGAUGUUGAUUUUUCGAAAUGUAAGGUAUAUUUCAGUCCCCUUAGCUCUCCGAGAUAUGUUGUAUGGCACAGUGAAAAAGCAUCUGAUGAACUCACUUCAGAUUGUUUAUUUUCAAGAUAGCUGAAUGCCUGAACCUUCAACUUGACUCAAGUAUGAGUCUGUAGUAGGUUUCAAAAGUGAAGGUUUUAUUAUAGACUAGAAAGAGUUACUUCUUAUUUUACAGUAUUCUGCUUUGAUUGGUAUAUAUUUUCCAGUGCAACAGAAAAGUGCAUCAAACCACAAUGUGUUUUGUAUAUAUAUAGCUGCAGCUUUGAUUUGAGACAUUGGAGAGUCAUGAUAGUUUGAUCAUUAACUACAUUUUAAAAAUGUAAAAUGUAUAAAAUAUACAACAUUGUAAUUUUACCCCUUGUGACGCGGGUUCCACGUGCACACAAAUGGUUUCUCUUUGUUUAUUUGCAUAUUCCACAUAAGUCCUCCAUAUUUGGUGAUUCAUUGGUUCAUAAAUUACAAUAUAUAUGUAGAAACUUUAGUCAUAUAUGUGCAUAUAAUUGUAAGUGAAAUGACAAGACAUGUAAUUUUUUGGGCAAAAUUUAGCUAUAUCGGCUGUUUCCCGUUGUUUAUUUCUACACAUAGAUGAAAACACCGAUCAUCUGACUUUGAUUACGAAUGUAUUAAAUGAGCGUCAAUUUUAGUUCAGAGGUUCAUUCGUUAGUCAUCCAAGCAAGUCCACCUUGCUUAUCACAGAAGUUUAUCUUCAAGUAUGAAAUGACCAAUAUUCUUUUUUUGUGUAAAUACAAAUAACUACAGUGACAAUAUACAUUUUGGUUGUUUUGUAGGACCACAUCAAGCGGAAUGGAUGGCUUAAGUCAAGCUAAUUUUAGAUAUUUAUUAUUUUGUAUAUUUGAGAGGAGCAAUACCUGUACUUUAUAGCAUAGCAAGGGACGGCUUGUUCCUAGAUGGUAUUGUGGAUACAUGCUGAUUAAUUUUUUUCUAAUAACUCUAUCGCUCUUUUAGCCUAACUAUCUGUUCUAUGUACCGUUGAUGAAACAUAU